CUGUCCCACUAUUUAGGAUAAAUACGUAUCCUGAUAUUGACUUGCUAUCAUCUGAUUAGAUUGAAAAUUAGAAUCUGUGUAUCCCUCUAGUUUUAACUCUGAUCUUUCUUCACAUAUGAGAAAAAAUAUCUUUAAUCUUUCUUAAGUACUUCAAAAUAUUUUUUUACAGCUUUUCAAUGAUCUUCCUCUAGAUCAGCCUAAAAUCUACUAGCUACGUCCGAAGCAUAAGAUACAUCAAGCUUGGUACAUAUC
rnacentral:lncRNA from 1 species